rnacentral:rRNA from 1 species
UACGGAGGGUGCGAGCGUUGUCCGGAAUUACUGGGUUUAAAGGGUGCGUAGGCGGCGCAGUAAGUCAGGAGUGAAAGUUUGCGGCUCAACCGUAAAAUUGCUUUUGAUACUGCUGUGCUAGAAUUAGGAUGAGGUCAGCGGAAUGUGGCAUGUAGCGGUGAAAUGCAUAGAUAUGCCAUAGAACACCAAUUGCGAAGGCAGCUGGCUAGACCUAUAUUGACGCUGAGGCACGAAAGCGUGGGGAGCGAACAGG